rnacentral:rRNA from 1 species
AGUGAACGCUGGCGGUAGGCCUAACACAUGCAAGUCGAACGGCAGCACAGUAAGAGCUUGCUCUUACGGGUGGCGAGUGGCGGACGGGUGAGGAAUACAUCGGAAUCUACUUUUUCGUGGGGGAUAACGUAGGGAAACUUACGCUAAUACCGCAUACGACCUACGGGGGAAAGCAGGGGAUCUUCGGACCUUGCGGGAUUGAAUGAGCCGAUGUCGGAUUAGCUAGUUGGCGGGGUAAAGGCCCACCAAGGCGACGAUCCGUAGCUGGUCUGAGAGGAUGAUCAGCCACACUGGAUUUGAGACACGGUCCAGACUCCUACGGGAGGCAGCAGUGGGGUAUAUUGGACAAUGGGCGCAAGCCUGAUCCAGCCAUACCGCGUGGGUGAAGAAGGCCUUCGGCUUGUAAAGCCCUUUUGUUGGGAAAGAAAAGCAGCAGGUUAAUACCCCGCUGUUCUGACGUUACCCAAAGAAUAAGCACCGGCUAACUUCGUG